rnacentral:rRNA from 1 species
UACAGAGGUCCCAAGCGUUGUUCGGAUUCACUGGGCGUAAAGGGUGCGUAGGUGGUGUGGUAAGUCGGAUGUGAAAGCUCGGAGCUCAACUCCGAAAUGGCAUUGGAAACUACCUUGCUCGAGGGUUGGAGGGGGGACUGGAAUGCUUGGUGUAGCAGUGAAAUGCGUAGAUAUCAAGCGGAACACCAGUGGCGAAGGCGAGUCCCUGGACAACUCCUGACACUGAGGCACGAAAGCUAGGGGAGCAAACAGG